GUCCACGCCGUAAACGAUGCACACUAGUUGCUCCUUUCCUUAGUGAGGGGGGUGACGAAGCUAACGCAUUAAGUGUGCCGCCUGGGGAGUACGGUCGCAAGAUUAAAACUCAAAGGAAUUGACGGGGACCCGCACAAGCGGUGGAGCAUGUGGUUUAAUUCGAAGCAACGCGAAGAACCUUACCUGGACUUGACAUUGAUAGAACCUGGGGUAAUGCCCGGGGUGCCUUUUAGGAGCUUGAAAACAGGUGCUGCAUGGCU
rnacentral:rRNA from 1 species